AUUGAACGCUGGCGGCAUGCUUUACACAUGCAAGUCGAACGGUAACAGGUUAAGCUGACGAGUGGCGAACGGGUGAGUAAUGCAUCGGAACGUGCCCGAUCGUGGGGGAUAACGCAGCGAAAGCUGCGCUAAUACCGCAUACGAUCUGAGGAUGAAAGCGGGGGACCGUAAGGCCUCGCGCGAUCGGAGCGGCCGAUGUCAGAUUAGGUAGUUGGUGGGGUAAAGGCCCACCAAGCCGACGAUCUGUAGCUGGUCUGAGAGGACGACCAGCCACACUGGGACUGAGACACGGCCCAGAAUCCUACGGGAGGCAGCAGUGGGGAAUUUUGGACAAUGGGCGAAAGCCUGAUUCAGCAAUGCCGCGUGCAGGAAGAAGGCCUUCGGGUUGUAAACUGCUUUUGUACGGAGCGAAAAGGUCCUUUCUAAUACAAGGGGCUCAUGACGGUACCGUAAGAAUAAGCACCGGCUAACUACGUGCCAGCCGCCGCCGUAA
rnacentral:rRNA from 1 species